UCGGAGAGUUUGAUCCUGGCUCAGGACGAACGCUGGCGGCGUGCCUAAUACAUGCAAGUCGAGCGAAUCGAUGGGAGCUUGCUCCCUGAGAUUAGCGGCGGACGGGUGAGUAACACGUGGGCAACCUGCCUAUAAGACUGGGAUAACUUCGGGAAACCGGAGCUAAUACCGGAUACGUUCUUUUCUCGCAUGAGGGAAGAUGGAAAGACGGUUUACGCUGUCACUUAUAGAUGGGCCCGCGGCGCAUUAGCUAGUUGGUGAGGUAAUGGCUCACCAAGGCGACGAUGCGUAGCC
rnacentral:rRNA from 1 species